rnacentral:tRNA from 1 species
GCACCUGUGGCUGAGGGGUCGAUAGCAGCGGACUCAUAAUCUGCCUUCUUCGGACGUCGUGGGUUCGAAUCCCACUGGGUGCA